rnacentral:rRNA from 1 species
GACAGAGGUGCCAAGCGUUAGGCGGAAUCACUGGGCUUAAAGCGUGUGUAGGCGGAUUCCUAAGUACCUUGUGAAAUCCCACGGCUCAACCGUGGAACUGCUCGGUAUACUGGGUAUCUUGAGCCACUUAGGGGCGACCGGAACAAAUGGUGGAGCGGUGAAAUGCGCAGAUAUCAGGAGGAACACCGAUGGCGAAGGCAGGUCUCUGGGCAUUAACUGACGCUGAGGAGCGAAAGCAUGGGGAGCGAACAGG